GAUGAACGCUGGCGGCGUGCCUAAUACAUGCAAGUCGAGCGAACAGACGAGGAGCUUGCUCCUCUGACGUUAGCGGCGGACGGGUGAGUAACACGUGGAUAACCUACCUAUAAGACUGGGAUAACUUCGGGAAACCGGAGCUAAUACCGGAUAAUAUAUUGAACCGCAUGGUUCAAUAGUGAAAGACGGUUUUGCUGUCACUUAUAGAUGGAUCCGCGCCGCAUUAGCUAGUUGGUAUGGUAACGGCUUACCAAGGCAACGAUGCGUAGCCGACCUGAGAGGGGGAUCGGCCACACUGGAACUGAGACACGGUCCAGACUGCUACGGGAGGCAGCAGUAGGGAAUCUUCCGCAAAGGGCGAGAGCCUGACGGAGCAACGGCGCGGGAGGGAUGAAGGUCUUCGGAUCGUAAAACUCUGUUAUUAGGGAAGAACAGAUGUGUAAGUGAGUAUGCGCGUGUUGAGGGUGCGGAAGCGGAAGGCCGGGGCUGGGUAGGUG
rnacentral:rRNA from 1 species